rnacentral:rRNA from 1 species
AGUGAACGCUGGCGGUAGGCCUAACACAUGCAAGUCGAACGGCAGCACAGGAGAGCUUGCUCUCUGGGUGGCGAGUGGCGGACGGGUGAGGAAUACAUCGGAAUCUACCUUUUCGUGGGGGAUAACGUAGGGAAACUUACGCUAAUACCGCAUACGACCUACGGGUGAAAGUGGGGGACCGCAAGGCCUCACGCGAUUAGAUGAGCCGAUGUCCGAUUAGCUAGUUGGCGGGGUAAUGGCCCACCAAGGCGACGAUCGGUAGCUGGUCUGAGAGGAUGAUCAGCCACACUGGAACUGCGACACGGUCCAGACUCAUACGGGAGGCGGCAGUGGGGAAUAUUGGACAAUGGGCGCAAGCCUGAUCCAGCCAUACCGCGUGGGUGAAGAAGGCCUUCGGGUUGUAAAGCCCUUUUGUUGGGAAAGAAAUCCUAUCGGUUAAUAACCGGUGGGGAUGACGGUACCCAAAGAAUAAGCACCGGCUAACUUCGUGCCAGCAGCCGCGGUAAUAC